rnacentral:rRNA from 1 species
UACGGAGGGUGCAAGCGUUAUCCGGAUUCACUGGGUUUAAAGGGGAGCGUAGGUGGCUUUGUAAGUCAGUGGUGAAAUCUUAGAGCUUAACUCUAAAACUGCCAUUGAUACUGCUUAGCUUGAAUCACGUCGAGGUGGAUGGAAUAUUACAUGUAGCGGUGAAAUGCUUAGAUAUGUAAUAGAACACCGAUUGCGAAGGCAGUUCACUAGGCGUGUAUUGACACUGAGGCUCGAAAGCGUGGGGAUCAAACAGG